rnacentral:rRNA from 1 species
GAUGAACGCUGGCUACAGGCUUAACACAUGCAAGUCGAGGGGAAACGACGGGGAAGCUUGCUUCCCCGGGCGUCGACCGGCGCACGGGUGAGUAACGCGUAUCCAACCUGCCUCUGACUGAGGGAUAACCCGUCGAAAGUCGGCCUAAUACCUCAUGGCAUCGUCUGCGGGCAUCCAACGACGAUUAAAGAUUUCAUCGGUCAGAGAUGGGGAUGCGUCUGAUUAGCUUGUUGGCGGGGUAACGGCCCACCAAGGAGACGAUCAGUAGGGGUUCUGAGAGGAAGGUCCCCCACAUUGGAACUGAGACACGGUCCAAACUCCUACGGGAGGCAGCAGUGAGGAAGAUUGGUCAAUGGGCGAGAGCCUGAACCAGCCAAGUAGCGUGCAGGAUGACGGCCCUAUGGGUUGUAAACUGCUUUUAUGCGGGGAUAAAGUGAGGGACGUGUCCUUCAUUGCAGGUACCGCAUGAAUAAGGACCGGCUAAUUCCGUG